GUAUCUAUGUUUGGUGGUCCCAUUCCCUUUUUUUAUGACAAACGUUUUGUCGGUUCUUGGUAACUACAAAACCAGAAUUUUUGUAAUACAUACAUAUGUACAUACAUAUUUAUAAGUAUUCAGUCAGAAAUAUAUAUACAUGCACAUUUAUAUAUAUGUACGUCUGAGUACAUAUUUUCCCAUUCACACGAAGCUAUUACCUCCCACCAACUCCACCACUCCAACCAACAGUCGGACACACACAAAAUACAAAUUUUAAAGGCUUAAUUAGUCAGCGGAUCGGAACCGAAAAGGGGAAAAAUGUUGGGCUUUAGCGGUAUGCACUCACUAUAUAUGUAUGCACACAUAGAUAAGUGUGUUUGCCUAUAUAUCCGUAAACGUAAAAUGUCUUCUUGAAUCCAGUUUCUUUUUCGAUUAAGACGGAGCAGGCACAGAUUGAAGCAUCAUCAUUAUCAAGAAACUGAGCCGAGAAGACCUUUGAAAUAAUGUUGUCCGUCGAAGCUAAAAAUAUAAAAGGAAAAGCAGACAAACAAACAGGAGCAAUAACAAAAUUAAGGGAACGGU